rnacentral:rRNA from 1 species
AUUGAACGCUGGCGGCAGGCCUAACACAUGCAAGUCGGACGAGUGGCGGACGGGUGAGUAAUGUCUGGGGAACUGCCCGAUGGAGGGGGAUAACUACUGGAAACGGUAGCUAAUACCGCAUACCAUCGGAUGUACCCAGAUGGGAUUAGCUUGUAGGUGGGGUAACGGCUCACCUAGGCGACGAUCCCUAGCUGGUCUGAGAGGAUGACCAGCAACACUGGAACUGAGACACGGUCCAGACUCCUACGGGAGGCAGCAGUGGGGAAUAUUGAACAAUGGGCGCAAGCCUGAUGCAGCCAUGCCGCGUGUAUGAAGAAGGCCUUCGGGUUGUAAAGUACUUUCAGCGAGGAGGCGUUACCCGCAGAAGAAGCAUCGGCUAACUCCGUGCCAGCAGCCGCGGUAAUUC